rnacentral:rRNA from 1 species
UAAGCGACUAAGCGUACACGGUGGAUGCCCUGGCAGUCAGAGGCGAUGAAGGACGUGCUAAUCUGCGAUAAGCGUCGGUAAGGUGAUAUGAACCGUUAUAACCGGCGAUUUCCGAAUGGGGAAACCCAGUGUGAUUCGUCACACUAUCAUUAACUGAAUCCAUAGGUUAAUGAGGCGAACCGGGGGAACUGAAACAUCUAAGUACCCCGAGGAAAAGAAAUCAACCGAGAUUCCCCCAGUAGCGGCGAGCGAACGGGGAGCAGCCCAGAGCCUGAAUCAGUGUGUGUGUUAGUGGAAGCGUCUGGAAAGGCGCGCGAUACAGGGUGACAGCCCCGUACACAAAAAUGCACAUACUGUGAGCUCGAUGAGUAGGGCGGGACACGUGGUAUCCUGUCUGAAUAUGGGGGGACCAUCCUCCAAGGCUAAAUACUCCUGACUGACCGAUAGUGAACCAGUACCGUGAGGGAAAGGCGAAAAGAACCCCGGCGAGGGGAGUGAAAAAGAACCUGAAACCGUGUACGUACAAGCAGUGGGAGCCUCUUUUAUGGGGUGACUGCGUACCUUUUGUAUAAUGGGUCAGCGACUUAUAUUCUGUAGCAAGGUUAACCGAAUAGGGGAGCCGAAGGGAAACCGAGUCUUAACCGGGCGUUAAGUUGCAGGGUAUAGACCCGAAACCCGGUGAUCUAGCCAUGGGCAGGUUGAAGGUUGGGUAACACUAACUGGAGGACCGAACCGACUAAUGUUGAAAAAUUAGCGGAUGACUUGUGGCUGGGGGUGAAAGGCCAAUCAAACCGGGAGAUAGCUGGUUCUCCCCGAAAGCUAUUUAGGUAGCGCCUCGUGAAUUCAUCUCCGGGGGUAGAGCACUGUUUCGGCAAGGGGGUCAUCCCGACUUACCAACCCGAUGCAAACUGCGAAUACCGGAGAAUGUUAUCACGGGAGACACACGGCGGGUGCUAACGUCCGUCGUGAAGAGGGAAACAACCCAGACCGCCAGCUAAGGUCCCAAAGUCAUGGUUAAGUGGGAAACGAUGUGGGAAGGCCCAGACAGCCAGGAUGUUGGCUUAGAAGCAGCCAUCAUUUAAAGAAAGCGUAAUAGCUCACUGGUCGAGUCGGCCUGCGCGGAAGAUGUAACGGGGCUAAACCAUGCACCGAAGCUGCGGCAGCGACACUGUGUGUUGUUGGGUAGGGGAGCGUUCUGUAAGCCUGUGAAGGUGUCUGUGAGGAUGCUGGAGGUAUCAGAAGUGCGAAUGCUGACAUAAGUAACGAUAAAGCGGGUGAAAAGCCCGCUCGCCGGAAGACCAAGGGUUCCUGUCCAACGUUAAUCGGGGCAGGGUGAGUCGACCCCUAAGGCGAGGCCGAAAGGCGUAGUCGAUGGGAAACAGGUUAAUAUUCCUGUACUUGGUGUUACUGCGAAGGGGGGACGGAGAAGGCUAUGUUGGCCGGGCGACGGUUGUCCCGGUUUAAGCGUGUAGGCUGGUUUUCCAGGCAAAUCCGGAAAAUCAAGGCUGAGGCGUGAUGACGAGGCACUACGGUGCUGAAGCAACAAAUGCCCUGCUUCCAGGAAAAGCCUCUAAGCAUCAGGUAACAUCAAAUCGUACCCCAAACCGACACAGGUGGUCAGGUAGAGAAUACCAAGGCGCUUGAGAGAACUCGGGUGAAGGAACUAGGCAAAAUGGUGCCGUAACUUCGGGAGAAGGCACGCUGAUAUGUAGGUGAAGUCCCUCGCGGAUGGAGCUGAAAUCAGUCGAAGAUACCAGCUGGCUGCAACUGUUUAUUAAAAACACAGCACUGUGCAAACACGAAAGUGGACGUAUACGGUGUGACGCCUGCCCGGUGCCGGAAGGUUAAUUGAUGGGGUCAGCGCAAGCGAAGCUCUUGAUCGAAGCCCCGGUAAACGGCGGCCGUAACUAUAACGGUCCUAAGGUAGCGAAAUUCCUUGUCGGGUAAGUUCCGACCUGCACGAAUGGCGUAAUGAUGGCCAGGCUGUCUCCACCCGAGACUCAGUGAAAUUGAACUCGCUGUGAAGAUGCAGUGUACCCGCGGCAAGACGGAAAGACCCCGUGAACCUUUACUAUAGCUUGACACUGAACAUUGAGCCUUGAUGUGUAGGAUAGGUGGGAGGCUUUGAAGUGUGGACGCCAGUCUGCAUGGAGCCGACCUUGAAAUACCACCCUUUAAUGUUUGAUGUUCUAACGUGGACCCGUGAUCCGGGUUGCGGACAGUGUCUGGUGGGUAGUUUGACUGGGGCGGUCUCCUCCUAAAGAGUAACGGAGGAGCACGAAGGUUGGCUAAUCCUGGUCGGACAUCAGGAGGUUAGUGCAAUGGCAUAAGCCAGCUUGACUGCGAGCGUGACGGCGCGAGCAGGUGCGAAAGCAGGUCAUAGUGAUCCGGUGGUUCUGAAUGGAAGGGCCAUCGCUCAACGGAUAAAAGGUACUCCGGGGAUAACAGGCUGAUACCGCCCAAGAGUUCAUAUCGACGGCGGUGUUUGGCACCUCGAUGUCGGCUCAUCACAUCCUGGGGCUGAAGUAGGUCCCAAGGGUAUGGCUGUUCGCCAUUUAAAGUGGUACGCGAGCUGGGUUUAGAACGUCGUGAGACAGUUCGGUCCCUAUCUGCCGUGGGCGCUGGAGAACUGAGGGGGGCUGCUCCUAGUACGAGAGGACCGGAGUGGACGCAUCACUGGUGUUCGGGUUGUCAUGCCAAUGGCACUGCCCGGUAGCUAAAUGCGGAAGAGAUAAGUGCUGAAAGCAUCUAAGCACGAAACUUGCCCCGAGAUGAGUUCUCCCUGACCCUUUAAGGGUCCUGAAGGAACGUUGAAGACGACGACGUUGAUAGGCCGGGUGUGUAAGCGCAGCGAUGCGUUGAGCUAACCGGUACUAAUGAACCGUGAGGCUUAACCU